rnacentral:rRNA from 1 species
AGUCGAACGGAGCACCCCGGACAGAGACUUCGGUCAAUAGAAGGGAAUGCUUAGUGGCGGACGGGUGAGUAACGUGUGAGCAACCUACCUCAAAGAGGGGGACAACAGUUGGAAACGACUGCUAAUACCGCAUAAAGCAAGAGUACCGCAUGGUGCAUUUGCCAAAGAUUUAUCGCUUUGAGAUGGGCUCGCGUCUGAUUAGAUAGUUGGUGGGGUAACGGCCCACCAAGUCGACGAUCAGUAGCCGGACUGAGAGGUUGAAUGGCCACAUUGGGACUGAGAUACGGCCCAGACUCCUACGGGAGGCAGCAGUUGGGAAUAUUGCGCAAUGGGGGGAACCCUGACGCAGCAACGCCGCGUGAAGGAAGACGGUUUUCGGAUUGUAAACUUCUUUUAUUGAGGACGAAACAAAUGACGGUACUCAAUGAAUAAGCUCCGGCUAACUACGUGCCAGCAGCCGCGGUAAUACGUAGGGAGCGAGCGUUGUCCGGAAUUACUGGGUGUAAAGGGCGAGUAGGCGGACUCAACAGUCAGGUGUGAAAUACCCGGGCUUAACCCGGGAGCUGCAUUUGAAACUAUGAGUCUUGAGAGAUGGAGAGGUAAGCGGAAUUCCUAGUGUAGCGGUGAAAUGCGUAGAUAUUAGGAGGAACACCAGUGGCGAAGGCGGCUUACUGGACAUCAACUGACGCUGAGGAGCGAAAGCGUGGGGAGCGAACAGGAUUAGAUACCCUGGUAGUCCACGCUGUAAACGAUGAUUACUAGGUGUAGGGGGUAUCGACUCCCUCUGUGCCGCAGCAAACGCAAUAAGUAAUCCACCUGGGGAGUACGGCCGCAAGGUUGAAACUCAAAGGAAUUGACGGGGGCCCGCACAAGCAGUGGAGUAUGUGGUUUAAUUCGAAGCAACGCGAAGAACCUUACCAGGGCUUGACAUCCAACUAACGAAGCAGAGAUGCAUAAGGUGCCCUUCGGGGAAAGUUGAGACAGGUGGUGCAUGGUUGUCGUCAGCUCGUGUCGUGAGAUGUUGGGUUAAGUCCCGCAACGAGCGCAACCCUUGUUGUUAGUUGCUACGCAAGAGCACUCUAGCAAGACUGCCGUUGACAAAACGGAGGAAGGUGGGGACGACGUCAAAUCAUCAUGCCCUUUAUGUCCUGGGCUACACACGUACUACAAUGGCGUACACAAAGAGAAGCGAAAUGGCGACAUGGAGCAAACCUCAAAAGGACGCCUCAGUUCAGAUUGCAGGCUGCAACCCGCCUGCAUGAAGUCGGAAUUGCUAGUAAUCGCGGAUCAUCAUGCCGCGGUGAAUACGUUCCCGGGCCUUGUACACACCGCCCGUCACACCAUGGGAGUCGGUAACACCCGAAGU